rnacentral:rRNA from 1 species
ACCGAGAACGGACACACGUGGUCAAGGAGAAUAUCCUGAGGUGAGCGAGAUAACUGUUGUUAAGGAACUCUGCAAAAUAACUUCGUAAGUUAGCAAGAAGAAGUGCUCCAGCGAUGGAGCCGCAGCGAAUCGGCCCAAGUAACUGUUUACCAAAAACACAGCUCUAUGCUAAGUCGCAAGACGAUGUAUAUGGGGUGACGCCUGCCCGGUGCCGGAAGGUUAAAAGGAGAGGUUAGGAGCAAUCCGAAGCUUUGAAUUGAAGCCCCGGUGAACGGCGGCCGUAACUAUAACGGUCCUAAGGUAGCGAAAUUCCUUGUCAGGUAAGUUCUGACGUGCACGAAUGGUGUAAUAAUUUGGGCGCUGUCUCGACAGCAGACUCGGUGAAAUCUUAAUACCGGUGAAGAUGCCGGUUACCCGCGACUAGACGGAAAGACCCCAUGGAGCUUUACUAUAACUUAAUAUUGAGUAAAUGCGAAUCUUGUACAGUAUAGGUGGGAGACUUUGAAGUCGGGGCGUCAGCUUCGAUGGAGUCGCCGUUGGGAUACCACUCUGGAUUUGCAUUUAUUCUAACUCCUACCCUGGAUGGGCGGGAGGACAGUGUUAGGCGGGUAGUUUGGCUGGGGCGGCCGCCUCCCAAAUAGUAACGGAGGCGCCCUAAGGUACCCUCAGUAUGGUCGGAAAUCAUACGUAGAGCGCAAAUGCAUAAGGGUGCUUGACUGCAAGACCGACAAGUCGAGCAGGUACGAAAGUAGGGAUUAGUGACCAGGCGGUUUCAUUGUGGAAUGGCCGUCGCUUAACGGAUAAAAGCUACCCUGGGGAUAACAGGCUGAUCGCGUCCAAGAGUUCACUUCGACGACGCGGUUUGGCACCUCGAUGUCGGCUCAUCACAUCCUGGAGGGGCAGCACCUUCCAAGGGUUAGGCUGUUCGCCUAUUAAAGUGGUACGCGAGCUGGGUUCAAAACGUCGUGAGACAGUUUGGUCCCUAUCUGUCGUGGGCGUAGGAAGUUUGAAAGGAUCCGUCCCUAGUACGCAAGGACCAGGAUGGACAUAGCUACGGUACACCGGUUGUAACGCCAGUUGCACGGCCGGGUAGCCGCCUAUGGAUCGGAUAAACGCUGAAAGCAUCUAAGCGCGAAACCGUCCUUAAGAUGAGACUUCCCUUUCGCAAGAAAUAAGAUCCGCGGUA